CCUACGGGCGGCUGCAGUCGAGAAUCAUUCACAAUGGGGGAAACCCUGAUGGUGCGACGCCGCGUGGGGGAAUGAAGGUCUUCGGAUUGUAAACCCCUGUCAUGUGGGAGCAAAGUAAAAAGAUAGUACCACAAGAGGAAGAGACGGCUAACUCUGUGCCAGCAGCCGCGGUACUACAGAGGUCUCAAGCGUUGUUCGGAAUCACUGGGCGUAAAGCGUGCGUAGGCUGUUUCGUAAGUCGUGUGUGAAAGGCGCGGGCUCAACCGGCGGACGGCACAUGAUACUGGGAGACUAGAGUAAUGGAGGGGGAACCGGAAUUCUCGGUGUAGCAGUGAAAUGCGUAGAUAUCGAGAGGAACACUCGUGGCGAAGGCGGGUUCCUGGACAUUAACUGACGCUGAGGCACGAAGGCCAGGGGAGCGAAAGGGAUUAGAUACCCUAGUAGUC
rnacentral:rRNA from 1 species